rnacentral:ncRNA from 2 species
UUGAACCUUGGCGAUGGAGGCCGCCAGGGCGCUUGUUUUUGCUGCCCAAACCGCUCUCUUUUGAGCUGAUGGCUCCUAGCUCACA